GCACGAUACUAAAUCUUUCCGAUCUAAGAAAUAUCUUUCCGUGUUUAUACUGAAUUAUAAAUACAAUUAUAAUCAUAACCCUUCAGAGUAUUGUGCAUAGAUCAUGGCGGAUGUCGGAUCAUCAACAUCCCCUAAGACUGACGCAUUGUUUACAGUUAACAAAAACUCCCGUGAUAUACGUCAGGUAGCUGGCAGCCCACUCAAAAUAGUGAUCUAUGGCACCGCUUAUGUUCAGCGUUUAAAUUCCUUUCUAAAUACCCAUGGACAUGCUAAUUUAGAUUUAGAUGAGAAUUUGUGCCAAGUUAAAUGUUGGCAUGGUGGGUUGCGAGAUCCAAGCGAGCAGCAUGGCAGCAUGUUUCGACAGGUUGACAUCAUAUAUUUACAUAUAGGCUCGAAUGAUAUUGCCGAAUCCACCGACACCUUGCCCGAUGAAGUAGCGACCACUGUUAUGAAGUUGGCAUCCUUGCUGAUGACUAGAUAUCGCCCGAAAUGUGUGAUUGUCAGCCAGCUGUUACCCAGAUAUGUUGAACCAUUCGAAGGAUUUAAUGAUAAAAUCUAUUCCACUAAUUCACAUUUAAUGGAACUCUGCAAUACGGCGAAUUUUGAUGUCAGUUUUUGGCGGCAUAGAGCUGGGCUGUGGCAACCAAAUCAACAUAUAUACAGUGACGAUGGCAUUCACUUGUCCGAUACAGUUGGCAAUAAUUUAUUUAUGCGCAGCAUCAGGGAUGCACUAUUACGACAUAUACGUUGGUAUUGCCAGUCUCAAGAUGGCACAAAAAAAAGGGAAACACCCGUUGAGUCUGUUGCUUCUGGCAGUGAUGCGUAGGCAUCAAAUACCACGACCGCAGAAGAACUGAUUACAGAUAUAUUGAUUAGGAAAUUAUUAAAAAGGGGUUUGGCCAGGAGACACAGUGGCUUAGUGAGAAGGAUGUUGACUGGAGGUCUAAUGUUCGAUCCUGUGUUGGUAAAGAAUGUUCACCAUGAUUUUCUGACGCAGCUUCCUCUUGUCAGUGGUGCAGGAUGGGAUUCAAAAGCAAUGUCCUGUGUACCGGUACGCAAAUGGCAUGCACGUAAAAGAUCCCUAGACAGUAAUAAAGAGUAGGCAGUAGUGCCGCUAUGUGGACAAAAUUUCCCUCAUAACACAAGGCAUGGCGUAGGCUCAUCUUCAUUUGCCGAGUCGCAGCAGAACUGUGGGACGUUAAACCACACUUCAAUUCUACCUUCAUUCAUGAACCGUCAUCUUCUGUCUCCACAAUGGAAUCAUCAACCAAUCUGAUUAGAAUACAGAUCUAUAUUUCGUUUCGUUUUUUAUACUUUCCAUGGCCUCUACUAAUUGAAGAUUUGACUGGUUGUAGUGGAAGGUCGCAUCAGAAGUCAUACAAGCGGCUUUUGACCCCAUGACAUCGGACAUUUGAGUAACCAACCAACGUUGAUGUUUCUAGUGAGCUAUCCACAUUUCCGUCAACAUCACGCCAAAAAUUCGUUUCAUUGGCUAAUCCCUCACAUCAUCCAGAACGCGGGUUAUAUACAUUGUACAUGUAACAACUCUUUCAGAUCCUAGUGUAGUAAAGACAAGUAAAAAGAAAUUUAGAACUAUUAAAAAACGAAACGAAAUAGGAUGUGUGUUGUAAUCAGAUUGUGUUUCAACAGAUCAGAAUAUAUUUUUGAGUGAACACUGCAGACUUUGUUCAAAUCCCUGUAACGGUACCGGAACCUUUGCCUCAUCAUCAGAAUAUUUCUAUUUCCCGCCAUCUAUCAGAUAAACUACUUCCAGAUUUUUGGGCUGAUAGAUUUGUGGAUUUUUUGUUGCCUCAGCCCGUGCAUCCUCUUAGGGUCAGACGAAGAAGCAGACCUGCAAAUUUCUUUAUCUCCUAAAUCAAAAUUGCAUUCAUUUGAACAAUGGCAGAAAGCCUUUUUUUGUGUUCAUGGUCGUCAUUAUUCUAAAAACUCCGCAAGUGGCACAACAUCACAAAAAGCAUUCUCCAAACAAGUCUCACUAUCCAGCAUUCGAACUUCAAGGGAAGGCAACUCUGUUUGGAAGAAUGCACAAGAAGUGAUAUGUUUGGUCAUUUAUUCACUAUUUUAUUAAGCCCAACCAAAGGUUUAGUUUUUGUUCUUCAAUGUAUAUAUUUAUAUUAUGUUAAAUUACAUAUGGCUCUAUUUUUUCUAUUUUUUUAAAACCAUAAUUGGGUCUAAAAGCACAUCAUCGAUGAAGUGUCUAAGCUGUGUAUCUCAACGCCAAUUAGAGCUGUUCUGGGUAUCAUGUGUCCAAAUGUUGUAUCUUGAUUUGUGGAAAUUUUGAAAUGCAAAAGGUUCUAUUUCUUAAUCUUUAGAAAUUCUUAUAUACACCCUUUUGACACUUCACCGAUGACAUAUAAAUGUAAUAUGAGUGUAUAUAAAGUGAUUUCUGAUCAAUUUAAAAAAAAAAAAUUAUUAUAAUUUCUAAUCAAAUAUUUUCAGUGAAAUAUGUAAACAGUCCAAACUAAACGGCAGUCGUUUUCGCCGGCUUCGUCCAUUUUAAACGUU